GACGAACGCUGGCGGCGUGCCUAAUACAUGCAAGUCGAGCGAAGUUUUUCUGGUGCUUGCACUAGAAAAACUUAGCGGCGAACGGGUGAGUAACACGUAAAGAACCUGCCUCAUAGACUGGGACAACUAUUGGAAACGAUAGCUAAUACCGGAUAACAGUAUUUCUCGCAUGAGAGAUAUUUAAAAGUUGGUUAUGCUAACACUAUGAGAUGGCUUUGCGGUGCAUUAGCUAGUUGGUGGGGUAAAGGCCCACCAAGGCGACGAUGCAUAGCCGACCUGAGAGGGUGAUCGGCCACACUGGGACUGAGACACGGCCCAGACUCCUACGGGAGGCAGCAGUAGGGAAUCUUCCGCAAUGGGCGAAAGCCUGACGGAGCAACGCCGCGUGAGUGAAGAAGGAUUUCGGUUCGUAAAGCUCAGUUGUUAGGGAAGAAUGGAUAUGUAGUAACUAUACAUGUAAGAGACGGUACCUAACCAGAAAGCCACGGCUAACUACGUG
rnacentral:rRNA from 1 species